UGCAGAUAUUAACAUCAUGGAAACCGGUAGGUGCAGAUAUUAACAUGGAAACCGGUAGGUGCAGAUAUUAACAUGGAAACCGGUAGGUGCAGAUAUUAACAUGGAAACAGGUAGGUGCAGAUAUUAACAUGGAAACCGGUAGGUGCAGAUAUUAACAUGGAAACAGGUAGGUGCAGAUAUUAACAUGGAAACCGGUAGGUGCGGAUAUUAACAUGGAAACCGGUAGGUGCGGAUAUUAACAUGGAAACCGGUAGGUGCAGAUAUUAACAUGGAAACCGGUAGGUGCAGAUAUUAACAUGGAAACCGGUAGGUGCAGAUAUUAACAUGGAAACCGGUAGGUGCAGAUAUUAACAUGGAAACCGGUAGGUGCAGAUAUUAACAUGGAAACCGGUAGGUGCAGAUAUUAACAUGGAAACCGGUAGGUGCAGAUAUUAACAUCAUGGAAACCGGUAGGUGCAGAUAUUAACAUCAUGGAAACCGGUAGGUGCAGAUAUUAACAUGGAAACCAGUAGGUGCAGACAUUAACAUCAUGGAAACUGGUAGGUGCAGAUAUUAACAUCAUGGAAACCGGUAGGUGCAGAUAUUAACAUCAUGGAAACCGGUAGGUGCAGAUAUUAACAUCAUGGAAACCGAUAGGUGCAGAUAUUAACAUGGAAACCGGUAGGUGCAGACAUUAACAUCAUGGAAACUGGUAGGUGCAGAUAUUAACAUCAUGAAAACCGGUAGGUGCAGAUAUUAACAUGGAAACCGGUAGGUGCAGAUAUUAACAUCAUGGAAACUGGUAGGUGCAGAUAUUAACAUCAUGGAAACCGGUAGGUGCAGAUAUUAACAUCAAGAAAACCGGUAGGUGCAGAUAUUAACAUCAUGGAAACCGGUAGGUG